UGGCGAACGGGGUGAGUAACACGUGGGCAACCUGCCCAAAAGAGGGGGAUAACACUUGGAAACAGGUGCUAAUACCGCAUAACCAUAGUUACCGCAUGGUAGCUAUGUAAAAGGUGGCUAUGCUACCGCUUUUGGAUGGGCCCGCGGCGCAUUAGCUAGUUGGUGGGGUAAAGGCUUACCAAGGCAAUGAUGCGUAGCCGAACUGAGAGGUUGAUCGGCCACAUUGGGACUGAGACACGGCCCAAACUCCUACGGAAGGCAGCAG
rnacentral:rRNA from 1 species